AAGGUAGGCUAGAAGAGACAGAAGAGAGAAGGAGGGAGAGUCUCCAGCCAUUGGCUGCUUUCCCAGCUGUCCCUGGGGUAGCAGGCAAGAGACUAGAAACACAGCUAAGCAGAGGACAGAGCAAGGGGAGCUGAGCAAGGAGAAGUUACAUUGGCUGGUCAGUCAGCAAACCUCAGCAUCUCUGGUCUCCACCCCUCCAACAACCCAGCUCUGGGGUUGCAAGCACAAAUGGCCAUACUUGCUGAUCAUUUUAUACGGAGAGUUGCUGGCUGCUUACACAAUCUAUUUCAGACCCUGAUGCCUGAAUUCUGCCGGGAAGUACCCUCUGAGUUCGGAAACCUAUGCGCCACCAUGGACAGAAGAUGGGAUUGAAAGACAGAUGAAUCUGACUCUUGUGUCAUGUAGAGUUAAGAUAUGUUUCUAUUCUGCAAUCUUGUGAGUGGAAUUCUAGGAAUGCGCCCUAGGCUUCUGAACUGGCCUAGGGAAACUUGAGUCACUUUCCCAGCCGUAGCAUUCAGAAGCUGUCUUUUGAGAGACAGCAUCUCUCAAACACUAAAGUGCAUAAGAACCCCUCUGGGGUUUUGAUAAAGUGUCAGAUCUGCCUCUGAGGGGUAGGACACUAAGUUUCUGCAUUUUUAAAGCUCUCAGGAGAUGCCCAUUCUGUUGGUGUGUCCUUAAGAACAUGGCCUCUGCCUCCCCCCCCCCCCCCCAAGGCCAGCUCGGAAUGUCAGAGCAGAUCAAAACUUCACAAAGUAGAUUUGGGCAGAGGACCCAAAAACCAUCCGAGCGAAAUGUAAUUGUGAGUGUGAAACAUGGCUUACUUUCCUUGUGAUUAAGGGCUUUGCCCAUGGAGGAUCGUGAGCUAGUCGUAUAGCACAUGUAACCACUUCUCUGAUUGGACAUUCACACAUGAUCACCUCUCUGGCUGGGCUUUGGGCUGAGUGAGCGUGUACAGGGAGUGUGUGACCUCCUUAUUGACUCAGCCCAAGGAAGCACUAAGAAAAUGACCAAUUCCAGUAGAGCUUACUCCAGUCUUCAUUUAUAUCACACUGUGAGAUUCAUUAAAUAUCACUUAAAGGGCAGCGCAAUACACGGUCCUCACUUGAAUAUAUCAUAUCAUAGACACUGUCUUCUUGUGGUGGUAAAAUUCCUUCACAAACGAAGCAUAAAUACAAAGUGUUGACUUUUAGCUCACAGUCCCAAAGGAAUACAGUCCGUCAUGGCAGGGAAUACAUGGCAGGAGGCAGGGAAGGCGUGGUACUAUGGAUAGGGCCUGGAUACUCAUGCUACAUCCACACAUGGGAAGCAGAGAAGGGAUAGGAAGAUGGGUCAGUGUAUAAAGUCUAGCUCCCGUGUCCCACUUCCUCCAUCAAGGCUCCACCUCCUAAGCAUUUCCCAACCUUCCCAAACAGCAGCACAAGUUGAGCACCAAGUUUUCAAACAUGUGGGCCUAUGGAGAAUAUUGCAUGUCCAAGCCAUAUCCCUCCUCCCCCUGGCUCCUCUAGGCUUAUGACCUUCCAUUGAGAUACAUUAAAUCCAACUUCAGAAACUCCCCAGUCUUUAGCAGUCCCUCCCCACCCUGAUCAAAGAGUUCAAAGAUUCUUGUGAUACUCAAAGCAAUUUUGCUCUUGAAAAGACUGUGUGUGUAGCUCACUGAACCUGCUGCAUCUCACCGAUUCAACCCCAUUAGCUGCCCGUUGAGUCUUUGGGAUCCUCCUGUCUCUGCCUUCCUCAUGUUAAGGUAAAAGUGCAGGAGAAUGCCACCAUGACUGUAUCCUUAAGCUCAGGUCCCCACAGUGCAGAGCAGUCACCUAGCCAGCUCCCUGAGCAUCUCUUCAGCCCCUUCCCUGCAUUUUCUGUUUCUCUUCCUAUUUCUGUCUUGGUUGCUAUUUCUCCUUUGCUCAGCUUUACUUAUAAGAGUCAUCUGUUGCCCAGCCUGGUUCAGAACCAAAAUCAAGUGAUUCUUCUGCCUCAACUCACUAGUAACGGGGACCCCAGACACUUAGACUCGUCUGGCUUCAGCUUCACCUUCAAGUGACAAAGGCCCACAGAACACAGAACAACACGCAAUGCCCUGACAUCUGAGGGAUGGGGAGCUGAUGCCCAGCAUUGCCAAGUGUCAGUUACAGGUUAAUUCUUGAAAAUAAACUCAGCACCCUGUGAGGUCUGCUUUCUCCUGCUUAUUUCCCUUCACUUCCUUAAAGGCCAUCUUUGGGGUAUGCUGAGUACUGCAAAGGAAAUCGUCGAUCUUCAAAGACUCUCUCUUGUCCACUUCGCUUGUGCUGUCCUCUGUCAGAGGCAAUGGCGGUACAGGGAACUUUGCAGAACUCAUAGAGUUCCCAGAUCAGCACUCUGAGGAGGACUAGAUCAGACAGUGUUCUUCUAGUUCAUCAUGCUGCAAGUAAGGCCACAGAGGCACUGUGAAGGGCUCUGCUCUUCAUCUUGGCAUUUACAUUUUUGGUGGCCUUGAGCUAGCUGUCUUCCAUCUUUUGUAUACAACAUGAGAAAUUAUCUGUUUUCUUAUGCCUUUGAAAGAUUUGUUUCCAGCGUUUCCAGGACAGUGAGAAGGUUUUAAGCUGCAGGCUUCCACAGCAGCUAAACCGAAAUCACUGUGAUUACACAGCUAGAGUCAGGUGUGCACUAUAGUGCACAGGCAUUCACCUAGGAAGUGCAAGGCCCUGGGUUCAGUGCCCAGCACGGAAAAGGGAAAUCUGCUUCCCUGGUCUCCAUCUAACAGGAAUUUGGAAAUCAUUAAUCCAUGCCACAAGA